AACGAACGCCGGCGGCGUGGAUAAGACAUGCAAGUCGAACGGAAUGAGAGCUUAGCUUGCUUUGCUUGAGUUUAGUGGCGGACGGGUGAGUAACACGUGAGCAACCUGCCCAGAAGUAGGGGAUAGCCCACCGAAAGGUGGAUUAAUACCGUAUGUGAUUGUGGAGGGAUUCCUCUGCUUAUCAAAGGUGGGGAUCCUUCGGGACCUGCCGCUUCUGGAUGGGCUCGCGGCCUAUCAGCUUGUUGGUGAGGUAACGGCUCACCAAGGCUACGACGGGUAGCUGGUCUGAGAGGAUGAUCAGUCACACUGGAACUGAGACACGGUCCAGACACCUACGGGUGGCAGCAGUCGAGAAUCAUUCGCAAUGGGGGAAACCCUGACGGUGCGACGCCGCGUGGAGGAUGACGGCCCUAGGGUUGUAAACUCCUGUCAUCGGGGAGUAAGGCUCUUUAUUUAAUAGAUGAAGAGAUUGAUAGUACCCGAAGAG
rnacentral:rRNA from 1 species